ensembl:lncRNA
GUGGUGGGAAAAUGAAGUGUGUUACACACACCACCCUGCCAACCCGGUUCACCCCUGCCAGAACAAUCUAAGAGCUCGGUUCCCCCGAGUUAGUUUUCCUGGAGGCAUUUUUGUCUCAGCGAGGUGGAUGUCGGCAGGUGAAACAAUCAGCGGUUGGUGGAUGGACAGGAUUUAAAUGAGAUGACAAAGCAAUUCUUCACUUCCUUCCUGCAAGCUGUCUAAAUAACUGGAGUUGGAGUUGCUGCCCAUCUGCAAAAAUGACACAUCUGAGAGGAGGGUCAAAGGUUGGCACCUUGGUGAUGUGUAGGACGACCAGUAUGGCACAGUAAUUGGCUGCUCGUCGUGACAUCGACUCGGCUGCUACCCAGAGAGAGAGCCAAAACACCCACAUGAUUUCUCGAAUCAAACACGGAGCACGGUGGAGAUCGGCUGAGGAUUAUUUCAUUAAAGCCAUAAUCCCUUCCGAAGCGUCUAGGAGGUCAUCUUCUCAUCGCGUUCAGCUCUCUCUACCAACAGAUGGUCUCCUUAAGAUCCAAAAUGGAUCUUCUGUAGUGGUUCUCUGUUUUCCAUCCUGCUCACAUCAACAAGGUCAAAGCAAGCAAAUCAUUCUCCCUCACUAAUACAUAUCGAAGCAUAUUGUUUAAAUGGCUAAUAAAAACAUCAAGAAAACACUUCA